UACGGGGGGAGCAAGCGUUGUUCGGAUUUACUGGGCGUAAAGGGCGCGUAGGCGGCCACCGCAAGUCGGUUGUGAAAUCUCCGGGCUUAACCCGGAAAGGUCAACCGAUACUGCGGGGCUAGAGUGCAGAAGGGGCAACUGGAAUUCUCGGUGUAGCGGUGAAAUGCGUAGAUAUCGAGAGGAACACCUGCGGCGAAGGCGGGUUGCUGGGCUGACACUGACGCUGAGGCGCGAAAGCCAGGGGAGCAAACGGG
rnacentral:rRNA from 1 species